rnacentral:rRNA from 1 species
CGAACGGGUGAGUAACACGUGGGCAACCUGCCCAAAAGAGGGGGAUAACACUUGGAAAACAGGUGCUAAUACCGCAUAACCAUAGUUACCGCAUGGUAGCUAUGUAAAAGGUGGCUAUGCUACCGCUUUUGGAUGGGCCCGCGGCGCAUUAGCUAGUUGGUGGGGUAAAGGCUUACCAAGGCAAUGAUGCGUAGCCGAACUGGGAGGUUGAUCGGCCACAUUGGGACUGAGACACGGCCCAAACUCCUACGGGAGGCAGCAG